GGUUGUGGCUCAGUGGCAGAGCGCUUGCCUAGCCUGUGUGAGGCCCUGGGUUCGAUUAUCAGCACCA
rnacentral:tRNA from 1 species